rnacentral:rRNA from 1 species
UACGGAGGGUGCAAGCGUUAUCCGGAUUCACUGGGUUUAAAGGGUGUGUAGGCGGGUAUUUAAGUCAGUGGUGAAAUCUCUGAGCUCAACUCAGAAACUGCCAUUGAUACUAUUUAUCUUGAAUAUCGUUGAGGUUGGCGGAAUAUGUCAUGUAGCGGUGAAAUGCAUAGAUAUGAUAUAGAACACCGAUUGCGAAGGCAGCUAACUAAGCGAUGAUUGACGCUGAGGCACGAAAGCGUGGGGAUCAAACAGG